GACGAACGCUGGCGGCGUGCCUAAUACAUGCAAGUCGAACGCAUUUUCUUUCACCGUAGCUUGCUACACCGAAAGAAAAUGAGUGGCGAACGGGUGAGUAACACGUGGGUAACCUGCCCAUCAGCGGGGGAUAACACUUGGAAACAGGUGCUAAUACCGCAUAAUUCCAUUUACCGCAUGGUAGAUGGAUGAAAGGCGCUUUUGCGUCACUGAUGGAUGGACCCGCGGUGCAUUAGCUAGUUGGUGGGGUAACGGCCUACCAAGGCUGCGAUGCAUAGCCGACCUGAGAGGGUGAUCGGCCACACUGGGACUGAGACACGGCCCAGACUCCUACGGGAGGCAGCAGUAGGGAAUCUUCGGCAAUGGACGCAAGUCUGACCGAGCAACGCCGCGUGAGUGAAGAAGGUUUUCGGAUCGUAAAACUCUGUUGUUAGAGAAGAACAAGGAUGAGAGUGGAAAGUUCAUCCCUGACGGUAUCUAACCAGAAGU
rnacentral:rRNA from 1 species